AAUAUAGCCACACCGCUGCCUAUGAGGAAGGAACGCAAUGUUGCCUUGUAGUACUCUGAAGGUUUGUCUGCGUUUGUCUACCUCCAUGCAGGUUUGUACGUAACCUGAGCAGCUCCAAGGAGGGCUUGAUCGCAGCCGCCAAUCUCAUCACGCUCAUCGGAAAGUCCAAGUCCUGCCAGUCACUCACCAGCUCAGGCAGUGGCUCUGGAAACCUCAGCACAUCGUCCAGCUGCAGUGAGACCUAACCGGCCUCCUCCACAUCAAACCCUGGACUCCUCAUCAUUUCCGACAUCACCAAACUGCCCUCAUUAAUGCUAGCAUCAUGUUGCUAUCUGUGCUAUUGCCAACGUCGGUACUCUUGAGAAUUUUGUCAGGUUUUCAUAGUAUUUUUUUUUUUCAUUUUUCAAAUCAUGUAAACGCACAGAUUUAAUAAGCCGAUUCGUCACAUGUUAUAGACUUGAUUGUCGUGCAAUUGUGCGGUGACAAUCCAGAAUGCUGGUCGGAUAAAUACAUCACAGAAUGUCAUUCCACUGCAUUGUGAAGUGAACUUCCUCUAAUCAUACACUUCUCUGUACGUUCUUUUUUUUUUAAAGGAGAACAGUGGAUCAGUGUUUAAUAUGUAAUAGAUGUAUGGAUGGGCCAGCGGGACUGAUCUUCGUUAAUGCAUCUACUUAUGUUCACAUGAAAAGUGCAGAAGGUUAGUGAUGAUCUGGGGAUGUCUGCUGUCUCUCUGCUCACCGCCACUAAUCUACCCAAGCAGGAGGUUCUUAACGCUGCCGGCGCUGUCCCUGAAACGGGACGGGGAUGAACAUGUACAGCCUGUUUCGCUCCGAUGAAUGUUUUCUGAGAGCCUUCCUCUGCUUUUCCCUUUACAAGCUUAUUUAUUUGUAAGAAACAAAAGCCGUCAUGUAUAUUUACUCACUGUUUUUGUACUUAUUUUCUCCCUGUCUUCUCACGUCUGUUGUCAUUAGAAAGCAGUUCUGCCACCAGCUUCCCCAGACGUUGUGUACGAGGUUUGUGUUUUGGGGUCUCCGAGGGCCUCGUAGUAUAACUCUGUGAGUUUUCAUGUUCGCUACAGUUUAAAAAUGUUUCUCCAUCACUGUAUGGCGCUAACUUAUUCCCUGUGGAGGAUUAUGUUCUGAAUGUAGAUAUUGUCCAUUAAUAUCAGUUUGUCAUGAAAUGUCUGAGAUGCUAUAUUGUACAUUAUGCGUGGUGCCGUCACUUGACUUUUCUUUUGUUUUUUACAUAAACAACUUCAAUUCA
ensembl:lncRNA